CCUACGGGAGGCAGCAGUGAGGAAUAUUGGUCAAUGGGCGCGAGCCUGAACCAGCCAAGUAGCGUGAAGGAUGACUGCCCUAUGGGUUGUAAACUUCUUUUAUAUGGGAAUAAAGUGUGCCACGUGUGGCUUUUUGUAUGUACUAUAUGAAUAAGGAUCGGCUAACUCCGUGCCAGCAGCCGCGGUAAUACGGAGGAUCCGAGCGUUAUCCGGAUUUAUUGGGUUUAAAGGGAGCGUAGAUGGGUUGUUAAGUCAGUUGUGAAAGUUUGCGGCUCAACCGUAAAAUUGCAGUUGAAACUGGCAGUCUUGAGUACAGUAGAGGUAGGCGGAAUUCGUGGUGUAGCGGUGAAAUGCUUAGAUAUCACGAAGAACUCCGAUUGCGAAGGCAGCUUACUGGACUGCAACUGACAUUGAGGCUCGAAAGUGUGGGUAUCAAACAGGAUUAGAUACCCUUGUAGUC
rnacentral:rRNA from 1 species